UACGGGGGGAGCAAGCGUUGUUCGGAUUUACUGGGCGUAAAGGGCGCGUAGGCGGUCGUGACAAGUCACUUGUGAAAUCUCCGGGCUUAACUCGGAACGGUCAAGUGAUACUGUCGGACUAGAGUACAGAAGGGGCAACUGGAAUUCUCGGUGUAGCGGUGAAAUGCGUAGAUAUAUGGAGGAACACCAGUGGCGAAGGCGGCUCUCUGGUCUGUAACUGACGCUGAGGCGCGAAAGCGUGGGGAGCAAACAGG
rnacentral:rRNA from 1 species